GGCCUUGUAGUAUAACGGAUAGUACAUGAGUUUCCGAAACUCCAAAUCCAAGUUCGAUCCUUGGCGAGGCCA
rnacentral:tRNA from 1 species